CCUACGGGGGGCUGCAGUGAGGAAUAUUGGUCAAUGGACGAGAGUCUGAACCAGCCAAGUAGCGUGAAGGAUGACUGCCCUAUGGGUUGUAAACUUCUUUUAUAUGGGAAUAAAAUGUUCCACGUGUGGGAUUUUGUAUGUACCAUAUGAAUAAGGAUCGGCGAACUCCGUGCAAGCAGCCGCGGUAAUACGGAGGAUCCGAGCGUUAUCCGGGUUUAUUGGGUUUAAAGGGAGCGUAGGUGGAUUGUUAAGUCAGUUGUGAAAGUUUGCGGUUGAAACGUAAAAUUGCAGUUGAAACUGGCAGUCUUGAGUACAGUAGAGGUGGGCGGAAUUCGUGGUGUAGCGGUGAAAUGCUUAGAUAUCACGAAGAACUCCGAUUGCGAAGGCAGCUCACUGGACUGCAACUGACACUGAGGCUCGAAAGUGUGGGUAUCAAACAGGAUUAGAUACCCUGGUAGUC
rnacentral:rRNA from 1 species